AAAAAUCCCCUGACUCAAACGAUAGUGCCGGGGAUUCUAGGGUAGUUUUUAUUUUUUAUUUUUUUUCAAUAUUUUUUGUUUUAAUUUUGUUUUUUCAAAUUUUAAAAUCUUAAAUUUUUUAAUUCUUUUAAUUUGUUUUACCUAAUUUUUAAUUAUUAUAAUAUUUUUUUAUAUAUUGUAUUUUAUUUUAAUUAAUGUUAUAUUUUAUUUUAA
rnacentral:lncRNA from 1 species